rnacentral:rRNA from 1 species
GACGAACGCUAGCGGCGUGCUUUAAGCAUGCAAGUCGUGGGGCAGCAAGAUUGUAGCAAUACAAUUGUUGACGACCGGCAAACGGGUGCGGAACACGUACACAACCUUCCUACAAGUGGGGAAUAGCCCAGAGAAAUUUGGAUUAAUACCCCGUAACAUAGCGAUGUGGCAUCACAUUGCUAUUAUAGCUUCGGCGCUUGUUGAUGGGUGUGCGGCUGAUUAGAUAGUUGGCGGGGUAACGGCCCACCAAGUCUACGAUCAGUAGCUGAUGUGAGAGCAUGAUCAGCCACACGGGCACUGAGACACGGGCCCGACUCCUACGGGAGGCAGCAGUAAGGAAUAUUGGACAAUGGACGCAAGUCUGAUCCAGCCAUGCCGCGUGAAGGAUUAAGGUCCUCUGGAUUGUAAACUUCUUUUAUAAGGGACGAAAAAAGGUCUUUCUAGAUCGUCUGACGGUACCUUAUGAAUAAGCACCGGCUAACUCCGUGCCAGCAGCCGCCGCAG